UAGGGAAUAUUGGGCAAUGGAUGCAAGUCUGACCCAGCCAUGCCGCGUGCCGGAUGAAGGCCCUCAGGGUUGUAAACGGCUUUUAUUCGGGAAGAAGAGCGAGGGUGCGCCCUAGUGUGACGGUACCGAAUGAAUAAGCACCGGCUAACUCCGUGCCAGCAGCCGCGGUAAUACGGAGGGUGCGAGCGUUGUCCGGAUUUAUUGGGUUUAAAGGGUGCGUAGGUGGCUUAAUAAGUCAGUGGUGAAAUACAGCCGCUCAACGGUUGAGGUGCCAUUGAUACUGUUAAGCUUGAAAGAAUUGGAGGCUGCCGGAAUGGAUGGUGUAGCGGUGAAAUGCAUAGAUAUCAUCCAGAACACCGAUUGCGAAGGCAGGUGGCUACGAUUUAUUUGACACUGAGGCACGAAAGCAUGGGGAGCAAACAGG
rnacentral:rRNA from 1 species